AUUGAACGCUGGCGGCAGGCCUAACACAUGCAAGUCGAACGAGUGGCGGACGGGUGAGGAAUGUCUGGGAAACUGCCCGAUGGAGGGGGAUAACUACUGGAAACGGUAGCUAAUACCGAAUAUUAUCGGAUGUGCACAGAUGGGAUUAGCUUGUAGGUGAGGUAACGGGUCACCUAGGCGACGAUCCCUAGCUGGUAGUCGAGGCUGACCAGCCAAACUGGAACGGAGACACGGUCCAGACUCCUACGGGAGGCGGCAGUGGGGAAUAUUGCACAAUGGGCGCAAGCCUGAUGCAGCCAUGCCGCGUGUAUGAAGAAGGCCUUCGGGUUGUAAAGUACUUUCAGCGGGGAGGCGUUACCCGCAGAAGAAGCACCGGCUAACUCCGUGCCAGCAGCCGCGGUAAUUC
rnacentral:rRNA from 1 species